rnacentral:rRNA from 1 species
ACGUUACUCGCAGAAUAUGCACUGACUAACUCUGUGCCAGCAGCCGCGGUAAUACAGAGGGUGCGAGCGUUAAUCGGAUUUACUGGGCGUAAAGCGUGCGUAGGCGGCUUUUUAAGUCGGAUGUGAAAUCCCCGAGCUUAACUUGGGAAUUGCAUUCGAUACUGGGAAGCUAGAGUAUGGGAGAGGAUGGUAGAAUUCCAGGUGUAGCGGUGAAAUGCGUAGAGAUCUGGAGGAAUACCGAUGGCGAAGGCAGCCAUCUGGCCUAAUACUGACGCUGAGGUACGAAAGCAUGGGGAGCAAACAGGAUUAGAUACCCUGGUAGUCCAUGCCGUAAACGAUGUCUACUAGCCGUUGGGGUCUUUGAGACUUUAGUGGCGCAGCUAACGCGAUAAGUAGACCGCCUGGGGAGUACGGUCGCAAGACUAAAACUCAAAUGAAUUGACGGGGGCCCGCACAAGCGGUGGAGCAUGUGGUUUAAUUCGAUGCAACGCGAAGAACCUUACCUGGUCUUGACAUAGUAAGAACUUUCCAGAGAUGGAUUGGUGCCUUCGGGAACUUACAUACAGGUGCUGCAUGGCUGUCGUCAGCUCGUGUCGUGAGAUGUUGGGUUAAGUCCCGCAACGAGCGCAACCCUUUUCCUUACUUGCCAGCAUUUCGGAUGGGAACUUUAAGGAUACUGCCAGUGACAAACUGGAGGAAGGCGGGGACGACGUCAAGUCAUCAUGGCCCUUACGACCAGGGCUACACACGUGCUACAAUGGUCGGUACAAAGGGUUGCUACCUAGCGAUAGGAUGCUAAUCUCAAAAAGCCGAUCGUAGUCCGGAUUGGAGUCUGCAACUCGACUCCAUGAAGUCGGAAUCGCUAGUAAU